rnacentral:lncRNA from 1 species
AGAUCCCUCAUCCCUGGCAGAUCUUAGAAGAGCUCAGCAUCCACUACCGUCAUGGUUUUGCUGUAUCGCAGUCUCUCCUCGGCCCCGCAGCUCUCCAGAACUGCAAGGCCUCAGACAGCUGCAGCACACGGGUUCAGCAGGCCCCGUUCACCCGCUGGUCGACCCCCUGACUGCCGGUCCCCACCUGGCUCGCUUCCCCUACCCGCCUGGCACUCUCCCCAACCCUCUGCUUGGACAGCCCCCACACGAGCACGAGAUGCUUCGCCACCCAGUUUUCGGCACCCCCUACCCCCGUGACCUGCCUGGGGCCAUCCCACCCCCCAUGUCAGCAGCCCACCAGCUGCAGGCCAUGCAUGCCCAGUCGGCCGAGCUGCAGAGACUGGCCAUGGAGCAGCAGUGGCUGCAUGGACACCCCCACAUGCAUGGUGGCCACCUACCAAGUCAGGAAGAUUAUUACAGUCGACUGAAGAAAGAAGGUGACAAGCAGUUAUAAGUUAUUUAUUUGUUAACGCUGGCUGUGGAAACCCCAGUUCUUGGGGGGAGAAACAGGACUUUUUACAUAAAAUAGGAGCUGCAAAAGCAAAAAGAAUAUCUUCUAAAGAUUUCUUUAUAUAUUUAAAAACCCACAACUAAAAAUGUAUCCACAUAGUAGUGUUCGUUUGUCGAGAGGAUUUCCUGAGACUGGUUUGGAUCUCCCUGCAUGACAGUCCCCCAGAAACUUAGUGAGUCCUGGACUGGACUGAACAUCCAGAAAGCUUCCCUGCAAUCUUGGGGUUUGGCUUUAGUUUUCUUUUCCUUGAUUUCUCAGUAGGUGCUAGAAUCCAGUUCACACCCUUCACUGUGCGUGCAGACACACUGACACACUCCGCCACGAGUGCUCCAGAGCCCACGAGGCUUGCAGAUCGGGGGCAUAGGAAUUUGGAAUCCAAGAGCUAUAAUUUUUAAAAAAAAAAAUCUUUUAUUUUAAUACAUUGUAGGAAAUCUUCAUAAUUGGAGAAAGUUCUGCAGCAUGGCUUUUUACGUCUGUAAAUAAAUAAUUUUAGAACAGCCUUUUUUUCUUCCAUAAACUACUAUUGUGAUCUAUUUUUUCCAGCCAUGUCACUAAUUGUGAAUUCCUACCAACUAUUGACAGAAUACAGAGUUGAUUUUUUAAUAAAAAGUUAUAUAUAAUUAUCCCUUUAAUUAAAGGGAGCAAAGGGGCGUUCCACAUGGACAGAGGCUUGGACCGAGGCCUGGUCACAGCAGCGAGCAUCCAGGGUUUGCAGGGACGAUGUUACAGACUCUGUUUUCUGCCUGGCGUUUCACUUGUGUCUGCUCCUAGCCUGUGCUCUGCCAGCAGCACAGACAUCUGCUCCAUCAGACCUCUUCCAUUUUGCACAGGGAGUGCAGGAGGUGAAUGUUCACUUUCUGUUCUCCAGUGUCACUGUUCUGUUUCCACGGGAUGGAAAGCGCAUGGGCCUGUGUCCAUUGUAGAUUUCCUUCUAGAUUUCUGUGUACACACACUUGAUUGUUCUGGAUGAAUGUCUUUUUUAAUACUCCGAAAAUUUCAUCAUCUAAGAAAAUGAUUCCAUACAAAUAACUCAGCACACAAGUGACCCAGGACAUAUGCCUGCCAAAGGGAUGUGUUAGAAGGCUGCCUUCUCAUGCGCAUUGUCACUUGGAUCUUGUGGUGAGGACGGCCCCAUCUUUCUUGCCACAGAUUGAGGCCACUUUUGAGCAAGGGAGAUCCUGGAGUUAAGACAGGUGUUGGGGGCAGCCUGUAUUUUACCCUAGGGGCAGGUCUGCAUGGUGACCCCACAUUGCACUGGUAAACCAUUUGAGUCCCACUCUUCAUCCUGGAAGUGGGAACUGGAGUCCCACCCACAGUGCAUUCAGAAAGCAUGCUGUGUGGGGGCUGCUUCUCAGGAGGCCAGGCCCUUCUGAGCGGAACCGUCCUGGAGAGAGCCUGCCCUCGUUUCCAGGCUGCAGCCGUAACGCACUUUCUCCCAGGCUGAGGGCGGGUGUUCUGGGGUGUCUGCCCUCUGUCGGCCCUGCUUCCUGCCAGGACGUGGCCUCUUCCGAUCCUUUUCUCUCAGACACUGGAGGUCUCUUCUGCCAUUGUGCUGGUCCCAUCCCAAGAAUUGUAGGACAGAGACCACACUGGGUCGGCGGACACAAAGUCCAUCCAGGACCCAGGCCGCAGAGGGAGCAGGAAGAGAUGCUGAUAGUUUGAUCUAGAAACCAGCAGCUACUGGCUCAAAUUCAGGUUCUGGCGUCAAAUAGCGACAUUUCCAGUUUCUCUUAAAAACCGUGUUUGGUUUCAGUUGGGAUAGGCUUGUUUUGUCUGUUGAAAAUGUUUCUAGUUUUUUUUCUUUCAUUUUUCUCUCAUUCCAUUUCUGCCUUAACUUUAGUUUGUUCACAGGGAGGCAAAGCUGACAUGAACCUUUUGUCGUGGGACUUCAGGCCACAUUGGCUUGAAGGCAUUCGUUUCCUUCUGGGGUGGGGACAGGCCCUCAUGGCAGGCUUGUUCCCGUGGCUCUGAGCGAGGCCUCUUCCUGCUGGGCUCCCAGACUCCUGCAUCCAGGCCCCCACCUUCUCGGCUUCUGGUUUUUCUUUCUUUUUGGUAGAACACAACAUCUACCAUUCAGUUAAACCUUCUUUAUCUCCUCCUUUGGCAUCCAUUUUUCCAAAGAAGAGUCGAGUCCUCUGAGGUCUGUGCUUGAAAGCCGUCCGAAGGCAUUCUUGUUAGCUUUGCUUUUCUCCCCAUAUCCCAAGGCGAAGCGCUGAGAUUCUUCCAUCUAAAAAACCCUCGACCCGAAACCCUCACCAGAUAAACUACAGUUUGUUUAGGAGGCCCUGACCUUCAUGGUGUCUUUGAAGCCCAACCACUCGGUUUCCUUCGGAUUUUCCUCCCUUUGUUCGGGGUUUGGUUUGGCUCCUCUGUGUGUGUCCGUAUCUUGUUCGGUGUCCUCGAGGUUGAGCUUCACUCCACUGCGGCAGAGGCAGCGUGCACACUCGGAUUUGCUACGUUUCUAUAUAUCUUGAAGCUAAAUGUAUAUAUGAGUAGUUUGCCAUGAGAUAACACAGUGUAAACAGUAGACACCCAGAAAUCGUGACUUCUGUGUUCUCUCCAUUUGAGUAUUUUGUAAUUUUUUUGAAAUAUUUGUGGACAUAAAUAAAACCAAGCUACACUACAACCCUUGGGUGUCUCCCGUGCACUGUCUCAUUCCUG